rnacentral:rRNA from 1 species
UUUAUGGAGAGUUUGAUCCUGGCUCAGGAUGAACGCUGGCGGCGUGCCUAAUACAUGCAAGUCGAGCGAACGGACGAGAAGCUUGCUUCUCUGAUGUUAGCGGCGGACGGGUGAGUAACACGUGGAUAACCUACCUAUAAGACUGGGAUAACUUCGGGAAACCGGAGCUAAUACCGGAUAAUAUUUUGAACCGCAUGGUUCAAAAGUGAAAGACGGUCUUGCUGUCACUUAUAGAUGGAUCCGCGCUGCAUUAGCUAGUUGGUAAGGUAACGGCUUACCAAGGCAACGAUGCAUAGCCGACCUGAGAGGGUGAUCGGCCACACUGGAACUGAGACACGGUCCAGACUCCUACGGGAGGCAGCAGUAGGGAAUCUUCCGCAAUGGGCGAAAGCCUGACGGAGCAACGCCGCGUGAGUGAUGAAGGUCUUCGGAUCGUAAAACUCUGUUAUUAGGGAAGAACAUAUGUGUAAGUAACUGUGCACAUCUUGACGGUACCUAAUCAGAAAGCCACGGCUAACUACGUGCCAGCAGCCGCGGUAAUACGUAGGUGGCAAGCGUUAUCCGGAAUUAUUGGGCGUAAAGCGCGCGUAGGCGGUUUUUUAAGUCUGAUGUGAAAGCCCACGGCUCAACCGUGGAGGGUCAUUGGAAACUGGAAAACUUGAGUGCAGAAGAGGAAAGUGGAAUUCCAUGUGUAGCGGUGAAAUGCGCAGAGAUAUGGAGGAACACCAGUGGCGAAGGCGACUUUCUGGUCUGUAACUGACGCUGAUGUGCGAAAGCGUGGGGAUCAAACAGGAUUAGAUACCCUGGUAGUCCACGCCGUAAACGAUGAGUGCUAAGUGUUAGGGGUUUCCGCCCCUUAGUGCUGCAGCUAACGCAUUAAGCACUCCGCCUGGGGAGUACGACCGCAAGGUUGAAACUCAAAGGAAUUGACGGGACCCGCACAAGCGGUGGAGCAUGUGGUUUAAUUCGAAGCAACGCGAAGAACCUUACCAAAUCUUGACAUCCUUUGACAACUCUAGAGAUAGAGCCUUCCUCUUCGGGGGACAAAGUGACAGGUGGUGCAUGGUUGUCGUCAGCUCGUGUCGUGAGAUGUUGGGUUAAGUCCCGCAACGAGCGCAACCCUUAAGCUUAGUUGCCAUCAUUAAGUUGGGCACUCUAAGUUGACUGCCGGUGACAAACCGGAGGAAGGUGGGGAUGACGUCAAAUCAUCAUGCCCCUUAUGAUUUGGGCUACACACGUGCUACAAUGGACAAUACAAAGGGCAGCGAAACCGCGAGGUCAAGCAAAUCCCAUAAAGUUGUUCUCAGUUCGGAUUGUAGUCUGCAACUCGACUACAUGAAGCUGGAAUCGCUAGUAAUCGUAGAUCAGCAUGCUACGGUGAAUACGUUCCCGGGUCUUGUACACACCGCCCGUCACACCACGAGAGUUUGUAACACCCGAAGCCGGUGGAGUAACCUUUUAGGAGCUAGCCGUCGAAGGUGGGACAAAUGAUUGGGGUGAAGUCGUAACAAGGUAGCCGUAUCGGAAGGUGCGGCUGGAUCACCUCCUUUCU